rnacentral:rRNA from 1 species
CCUACGGGGGGCAGCAGUGAGGAAUAUUGGUCAAUGGGCGCGAGCCUGAACCAGCCAAGUAGCGUGAAGGAUGACUGCCCUACGGGUUGUAAACUUCUUUUAUAAAGGAAUAAAGUGAGGCACGUGUGCCUUUUUGUAUGUACUUUAUGAAUAAGGAUCGGCUAACUCCGUGCCAGCAGCCGCGGUAAUACGGAGGAUCCGAGCGUUAUCCGGAUUUAUUGGGUUUAAAGGGUGCGUAGACGGGUUGUUAAGUCAGUUGUGAAAGUUUGCGGCUCAACCGUAAAAUUGCAAUUGAUACUGGCAGGCUUGAGUACAGUUGAGGUAGGCGGAAUGCGUGGUGUAGCGGUGAAAUGCUUAGAGAUCACGAAGAACUCCGAUUGCGAAGGCAGCCUACUAAGCUGCCACUGACAUUGAUGCUCGAAAGUGUGGGUAGCAAACAGGAUUAGAUACCCUGGUAGUC